rnacentral:lncRNA from 1 species
AAAACCCUUUCCGGUUGUGAGCCCUCAAACUAGAUAAUCCCACACCGACCAAGAGCUUCUAUGUUUCCCCGUUAUAUUACGGAGCUCAACAUCUCGGUUCGUCCGUUCGGGGACAUCCGAUAAAAUUGGAACGAUACAGAGAAGAUUAGCAUGGCCCCUGCGCAAGGAUGACACGCACAAAUCGAGAAAUGGUUCGGAGCUUUUUUUCAUCUAUUUGGUUUCAUGUUUCCCCAAAUUUAGCUGACGGCAAUAGGCGUAUUAUUAUGCCCUAGUUUGAUUAUUUAGUUUUUAUCAUGAUUUUAUUGGGAGAUUCAGUCAUAUUACAUCAGGAACAUAUAUGACUCCAUGAUCUCUGUUCAAUUAGUUUUCUAUUAAUCAUAUUGAUGCAUGUAAUGUAAUGGUUAACUUAAAAUUGAUUAUCUUUUGUCCCCCAUUAUGCAAUCCCCAAUCCACUAACCAAAGCAAAUUUGUUUGCUAUUCAAAAUCAACAAAUUUCAUAGAUUCAUUCUACUAUAUUUAAUCUACUUGCACAUUGAGCCGCUUUUUGUGCAACGGUUUUUCGCCGUCCUUCUAUACUCUUUAAGUUAAGGAAGCUCGUCCAAAUUGUUGGUAAAUUCCUUUAUGAGAUUUCUCUCUGAAAUGAAGAAACUACAAAUACUAAUUCGUAGCUAUUCUAUGUCAAGCAUGUCGGAAAGUAUCUAUGUUCUAAGCUACUGUGCAAUGCUUUUCAGUUAGCUUUUUCUCAUCCAGUAACCUUCGUGUCAUAUAAGCAACCUUUUUUUAUUUCUUUAAGAAUGGCGUGUUUCCUUUAAGCGAGGACAUUGAAGGAGGAGCCUUCCUAAAAGGGACUCCAAUGAAGGUCCUGGGGUUGUUUGAAUAACACAUGGUUCUUUCGUAUGCCUAAUUGUUAUCAUAGCACCUACAGAUAUGUGAAGGAUGGUGAGACAAGGUACUGCGUUGUUUGUUAAUGUUUGUUGAUCUUUGGGUGCUUUGUAAACUGCUUUACUUCCUUUUUUUAUAAGUGGAAUUGCUGACCUACGUUGUAUGAAAGAUUGAGAUAUGAUUGUUUUCUGAAGUCCUCUGUAUUUAAGUUCCUUGACUUUUCAAAAAUGAUGUCUCUCCUAGUAAUGUGGCAGCAUAUAAAUAAUUAUGCAGUUCGUGGGAUCUAUUCCUGAUUCCCAGAAGAUAGUGAAAGGUGGUUCAACAGAUAGACUGCAAAAUGACAAGACAAUGGUACCUAAUGAACUGAAUUAUGAACUUACAAAAUUGAUUGUCUCUUCGUUGCAACCCAUUGGCAAGCUACUAGUUCUUUCUGUCGAAAAUGGGUACCACAUGUACACGAGUUUUCUGCAUCCGAAUAGCAUAAUUAACAUCUCCUAGAGCAUUUGUGAUGCAGUAGGAAUUCUUUAUCCUUGCACAUCUUGUGUUUGUUGUUCUAUUGUAUAUGUGUUAACAUCAAAAUGUCUAGAUGGCUAAUAUCAUGCGGCAUAUGUUAUUUUAAGGUCAAACAAAAUGGAUUAGGUUCUAUUUACCUUCCCCCAUAAUCCCCAACUCCAUCCCUAGUGAUUCAAUCUGAUAGAAAGGUGAAUUAACUGUGUUUCUCCUAAUUCUUAAAUUCUUUUUUUAUCAAGUGAAGUGAAUUGGGGUAGAGCCUGAAUUGCUGUUAACUGAAUUUUUAUAUACAAACAGCGGAUACCAAAAGGUAAACCAGACUCACAACUGGUCUGCUUAUGUUUGAUCCUUCAACUAGGCCAAAAGGUUAAUUGGGCAAAAAAGUUGCUUUAGUUCUCUAGCAUCAAAUCAUAGAUGAUAAGUCACAACCCCAUGGUGCCCAAGUCUUUUCACAAAAGAAAAGGAAUCUUACUCAUCUAAGUAUAUAAUAUGAAGUUAAUUGAUGGCAAGAUCCUUAUUUCUAUUGCUAAGCUUCUUACAAAUAGUUACACCUUUUUUUUAAUCUCACGCUUAGAGAUAGAGGUUGAAAGGCAACAGCAAAAUAAACUAGAUAACAAAUAUAUAAAUAAACCUUGGAAAAAUAUUUGAAUUAAAUCGGGAUACUUUUAUUGAGUAUGAGUGAAAUGAAUUGCUAGUUGUUACAUAAGCUAAGAGCGCAUUCCCCUUUACAUAUGAAGCAAUGAGAACCGAGCCUUCAAAUUAAACAGAUUAGAAAAAUAUCCAAUGCUAUUGUAUUGCAUACAGAGAACUGGCUUUGGCGAGGAGUAAAUGCCUAACAACAGAAGACUUAUCUCUAACUCGUGAAUGAAUCUUGGAAUGAUCCCUUGUUACUGCUGCUAUUGUUUCUUCUCCAAACUUGAAUUUUGGGACUAUAAAUCAUUUCUUAUUGAAGAGCGUAUGCAUCAGGUUCUCCAACGCCUCAAGAGUCAGUUGAAAUCCAUCCGAAUGAAGAUACGAAGCCCUACCAGAACAUGCAACAACUCUUUGUGCUCCACACUGUUUCUGCAUAUCAAAUUUGAAUGGACUGUCGCCGUAGCCACAACAUGCCUUCAUCAAAGUUUUCAUUUUGAAUCCCAGAAAGCCCAUGGAUUUUUAGAAUAGCUGUGAAUGCUUUGUAGUAAUCUGCAUAUAUGAUAUGGACUUCAGGGUAUUUUAAUCGCAGCUCCUGAAUAAAGGUGAUUAUUGUGAAGCUUCGAGAACAUAUUCAGUCCCCUGUGGCAUAUUCUGUUUUUGCGAAUUGGAUCACCCUCACAGAGUCCAAAAACCAGGAAAGCAGCCCACACGAAGAAUUUCAGAGACCAUAAUUGUUUUACUCCAGGUUCAUUGAUGAGCUUUUCAACUGAACUUUUAAUAGUCUCCACCACUUCAGGCACAAGAUGAGACAUUUCACAUAUAGAUUUUCCAUGUAAGAAUGCAUGCUUGUAGUCAUUGAUGCCGAGUUGAUCCAUAAAGAUAAGUGCUUUUGAAGAACCUUGUUUCUGCCACAGUCAUUGAAAAAAGGUACAGUCUUUAUAGAAGAACUUCAUAAAGGUGACAAUCGGUGAUAGGUCAUGAGACUGAGGUGGUGGUGGGAUGGCAUUCUUUAGGAAGAAAAAGGGCAUGAUUGUUGCGCAAGGAAUUGCAAAACUCAGUCCAGACUCGAAGUACUCAGUGCCUUGUUGUGGAGAAGGCAAACUGAGGGUUGC